GAUGAAGAACGUAGCGAAAUGCGAUAAGUAAUGUGAAUUGCAGAAUUCAGUGAAUCAUCGAAUCUUUGAACGCACAUUGCGCCCCCUGGUAUUCCGGGGGGCAUGCCUGUCCGAGCGUCAUUACAACCCUCAAGCUCAGCUUGGUGUUGGGCCCCGCCGCCCCGGCGGGCCCUAAAGUCAGUGGUGGUGCCGUCCGGCUCCGAGCGUAGUAAUUCUUCUCGCUCUGGAGGUCCGGUCGUGUGCUCGCCAGCAACCCCCAAUUUUUUUCAGGUUGACCUCGGAUCAGGUAGGGAUACCCGCUGAACUUAAGCAUAUCAAUAAGCGGAGGA
rnacentral:misc_RNA from 1 species